rnacentral:rRNA from 1 species
CCUACGGGGGGCAGCAGUGGGGAAUAUUGGACAAUGGGGGGAACCCUGAUCCAGCCAUGCCGCGUGUGUGAAGAAGGCCCUCGGGUUGUAAAGCACUUUCAGUGAGGAAGAACGCCUGGUGGUUAAUACCCAUCAGGAAAGACAUCACUCACAGAAGAAGCACCGGCUAACUCCGUGCCAGCAGCCGCGGUAAUACGGAGGGUGCGAGCGUUAAUCGGAAUUACUGGGCGUAAAGCGCGCGUAGGUGGCUUGAUAAGCCGGUUGUGAAAGCCCCGGGCUCAACCUGGGAACGGCAUCCGGAACUGUCACGCUAGAGAGCAGGGGAGGAAGGUAGAAUUCCCGGUGUAGCGGUGAAAUGCGUAGAGAUCGGGAGGAAGACCAGUGGCGAAGGCGGCCUUCUGGACUGACACUGACACUGAGGUGCGAAAGCGUGGGUAGCAAACAGGAUUAGAUACCCGAGUAGU